rnacentral:sRNA from 1 species
AAAGAAAAGAAAGAGUUCUUGUUAGCUAUGGAAGAUGGGCAAAAGGCCUUGGUU